GUCGGUCACUUGAUAGCAUAGGCCUAUUUUCCAUUCUUCGUGUAAGUCCUGUCAUGGUUAGUAGAAAACAAGAAACAAAUCGCAGGGAUAUGUUCCUAUCAACUACUAGGAUGUGGCUACAAGUCGCUCAACUCUCAAGCUAAAAAUCAAGUUCUUACGAGUUCUUACCAAGCAAAACAGGAAGGUGAUGGCCAGCGGCGUUACCAAGCAAAACAGGAAGGUGAUGGCCAGAGGCGUUACCAAGCCCUUUGAAGAUUGAAUGUAUCGAUGCCUCGGUAACAAACCAACCUAGGUGUAAAAUCUGUGGAGCUUGGAGACUUUUGUGAGUAGCAAGGAAAAGCAAAUAAUCAAAUCAGCAAUGCAAAGUUGAAAAUAUGCUCAAAAAUGCUAGUCCUACCUGCUGGAGUCGAUAAGAACGAAUUACAGAAAUAAGCUUAGAUACUGAAGAAGGUAGGAUAGAAAGAUCAAAUGAAAGAUGGCACAACAAGUAAAUCUUUGGGAUUUUUCUUUUCUUUUUCUUUUUGUGGCCUUGUGUUUGGAUUCUUUUUCUUUUCUUCUUUUCUUUUUCUUUUUUUUAACCCCAGAAACUCACGCAAAAGAAGGACCAGAAAACUGUACGUCGGUCUGUCGAAGAACAGCAAAGGCUGCAGUAAGGAAAAUUCAGAAAAAUAUGGAAACAUAUGGGUUAGAAGCGUAUCGACACAAGAUUUCCAGUAAGGGAAAGAUCACUCAAAACAGAUUUUAGACAGUGGAGAAAACUGAAAAACACCGGGCUGCAGCGACGCCGGAAAACGGAUGCAAAAACUUGGAAGCUCCAAAAGUCCACCUUAAAAGCCAAAUUUGAGGGUCAAUGUGCAAGGCAACGCCCUGAAUAUUUCUGGAUGCGCCUCGUCGUGAGAUUUCCAAAAAGCCUAAGAACGGCCAAAUCCGAGUUGGUAGACAAAAGAUACGACCAUUUUACUGAACACGGGUCAAACCCAACCGAAACUAUAAUUCUCUCUACGUGGAUCCGAAACUGAUUCUUUCUCUCUUUUUUUUUGUUUUUUUCCUUUCUUUCCUUUCCUUUCUUUUUUUUUCAACUUUCCAAACAACUUGAUCUCUAAACAAAAUUCGAUCUAUUAUGAAACACUUUCCCAAAAGCACUCUCGAUUGGACUCGGACUCGAACUCGGAGAAGGACUCGGUGUAGGACUCUAUGGAAGAUAUGAUGGUGGCGGAAAAUUAUGGCGUGGCAGUGGUGUGGCAGGGAGUUUGGCGGCGGAAGAUUGAUGGAGAAAAACCUGCGUCACAUGAAAUUGAAACACACAAAAACAAGUUUGAUCUAGUAGAAAAAUCUGAAAAACGAUCCAAUCUAAUCCAGCAACUCGACACGGUUAAUGCAGCAAAAAUUCAACAAUGCAAAUACUAAUGUGAAAAUUGCAAGGCUCUGAUUGGUUUUGGGGCGAAGGUAACUAAUCUCUACUUUUUUUAUUGGCUUUUUCUGGACUAUAGGUAAAACAGAUCUAAACUAUGGAAAAACUGGAAAAAUCUCACUGAGCAACCUUAAUCUCUGAUACCACGUGAUAUGGCUGCGGGGGUGGCCCGAUCUUUCGAUGAGAUUGAUAACUCUCGAUUUGUGUAGGAGGUGACGUUGACGAUCAGACUACGGCCUAGGAGGCAGCACCUUAGCAAUCGAUACACCAACUCCAGAGGGUUAUUGAUCACGUGGGACCACGAAGGUCUUUGUUCCUGCAAGCAAUCGAAGAAAAAACAAGAACAAGAUAAAUAGAAGAUGCAAUCGGAAAUUGCGAGUAUACUAUAUCAAACCAAUGUCUCAACGAGAUGAUAAGUUGGGGUUCCGAAAGCGGUAAAGCAGGUGGUCUAACCGACAGACGCGAUUACACGAAGUAGUAGUGAUGACUAACUUUUAACUAAACAAAACCCAAUUCUCCAUAGGGGGGCUCGUGGGGUAUAUAAAGGAGGAGGGAGAGUGUCCACCUUGAGUAAGGAGGCCGAAAUCCAACCCUAUCUCUAACUUUCCAAACAACCUACAACUCUUUAGGAAACAGAAAAACAGAUCCGUCAGCUU
rnacentral:lncRNA from 1 species